AGAGUUUGAUCCUGGCUCAGAACGAACGCUGGCGGCGUGCCUAACACAUGCAAGUCGAACGAGAAUCCGGGCUUCGGUCCGGUAGUAAAGUGGCGCACGGGUGAGUAACACGUGGGUAACGUACAUUAUAGUGGGGGAUAACCAGGUGAAAGCUUGGCUAAUACCGCAUGAGUCCGGUGAGACGCAGGUCUUGCCGGGGAAAGUGGAGCAAUCCACGCUAUCAGAUGAGCCUGCGUAGGAUUAGCUUGUUGGUGAGGUAAAGGCUCACCAAGGCGACGAUCCUUAGCUGGUCUGAGAGGAUGAUCAGCCACACUGGAACUGAGACACGGUCCAGACUCCUACGGGAGGCAGCAGUGGGGAAUAUUGCGCAAUGGGCGAAAGCCUGACGCAGCCAUGCCGCGUGUGUGAAGAAGGCCUUCGGGUUGUAAAGCACUUUCAAUUGGGAAGAAAGGUUGCGUGUUAAUAGCACGUAGCUGUGACGUUACCUUUAGAAGAAGCACCGGCUAACUCCGUGCCAGCAGCCGCGGUAAUACGGAGGGUGCGAGCGUUAAUCGGAAUUACUGGGCGUAAAGCGCGCGUAGGCGGUUUGUUAAGUCGGAUGUGAAAUCCCCGGGCUCAACCUGGGAAUGGCAUUCGAUACUGGCCGACUAGAGUACGAGAGAGGGAGGUAGAAUUCCACGUGUAGCGGUGAAAUGCGUAGAUAUGUGGAGGAAUACCGGUGGCGAAGGCGGCCUCCUGGCUCGAUACUGACGCUGAGGUGCGAAAGCGUGGGUAGCAAACAGGAUUAGAUACCCUGGUAGUCCACGCCGUAAACGAUGUCUACUAGCCGUUGGGAAACUUGAUUUCUAAUGGCGCAGCUAACGCACUAAGUAGACCGCCUGGGGAGUACGGCCGCAAGGUUAAACUCCAAGGAAUUGACGG
rnacentral:rRNA from 1 species